rnacentral:rRNA from 1 species
AUUGAACGCUGGCGGCAUGCUUUACACAUGCAAGUCGAACGGCAGCGCGGGCUUCGGCCUGGCGGCGAGUGGCGAACGGGUGAGUAAUACAUCGGAACGUGCCCAGUAGUGGGGGAUAGCUCGGCGAAAGCCGGAUUAAUACCGCAUACGACCUGAGGGUGAAAGCGGGGGAUCUUCGGACCUCGCGCUAUUGGAGCGGCCGAUGGCAGAUUAGCUAGUUGGUGGGGUAAAGGCCUACCAAGGCGACGAUCGGUAGCUGGUCUGAGAGGACGACCAGCCACACUGGGACUGAGACACGGCCCAGACUCCUACGGGAGGCAGCAGUGGGGAAUUUUGGGCAAUGGGCGAAAGCCUGAUCCAGCAAUGCCGCGUGUGUGAUGAAGGCCUUCGGGUUGUAAAGCACUUUUGGCGGGAACGAAAAGGACUGUGCCAAUACCACGGUUCGAUGACGGUACCCGCAGAAUAAGCACCGGCUAACUACGUG